UACAAUCUAGUUGUAUUUAAUCAUAUCCCUCCGUAAAAUUAAGAUCAGUCGGUAAUGUUUAAUGAACGUAAACUGACUAUCAUUUUGAUUAGGGCCGACAUGGAUGAAAGUUCUGAUACUGGAAUUGUACUUGGUUUGAUGGUACCAGUGGUUAUUCUAGUCACAGCUGUGAUUAUAUUUGUUCUGUACCGUCAAAACAAAUUGCCAGGAGUGUUUCGUUGUCGAAAUACAGCAACUGAUUUAGAAGAUAAGGAAGAGAACAUUCAGAUGAUUCCUGCAACAG